rnacentral:rRNA from 1 species
GAUCCGUGGCUACAGAACGAACGCUGGCGGCAUGCCUAACACAUGCAAGUCGAACGAGACCUUCGGGUCUAGUGGCGCACGGGUGCGUAACGCGUGGGAACCUGCCUUUAGGUUCGGAAUAACUCAGAGAAAUUUGAGCUAAUACCGGAUAAUGUCUUCGGACCAAAGAUUUAUCGCCUUUAGAUGGGCCCGCGUUGGAUUAGCUAGUUGGUGGGGUAAAGGCCUACCAAGGCGACGAUCCAUAGCUGGUCUGAGAGGAUGAUCAGCCACACUGGGACUGAGACACGGCCCAGACUCCUACGGGAGGCAGCAGUGGGGAAUAUUGGACAAUGGGCGAAAGCCUGAUCCAGCAAUGCCGCGUGAGUGAUGAAGGCCUUAGGGUUGUAAAGCUCUUUUACCCGGGAUGAUAAUGACAGUACCGGGAGAAUAAGCUCCGGCUAACUCCGUG